AUUGAACGCUGGCGGCAUGCUUUACACAUGCAAGUCGAACGGUAACAGGCCUUCGGGUGCUGACGAGUGGCGAACGGGUGAGUAAUGCAUCGGAACGUACCCAGAGGUGGGGGAUAACGCAGCGAAAGCUGUGCUAAUACCGCAUGUGAUCUGAGGAUUAAAGCGGGUGACCGAGCAGCAAUGUUUGGCCUCGCGCCUUUGGAGCGGCCGAUGUCGGAUUAGCUAGUUGGUGGGGUAAAGGCCUACCAAGGCGACGAUCCGUAGCUGGUCUGAGAGGACGACCAGCCACACUGGGACUGAGACACGGCCCAGACUCCUACGGGAGGCAGCAGUGGGGAAUUUUGGACAAUGGGCGCAAGCCUGAUCCAGCAAUGCCGCGUGCGGGAAGAAGGCCUUCGGGUUGUAAACCGCUUUUGGCAGGAACGAAACGGUGUCCGCUAAUACCGGGCGCUAAUGACGGUACCUGCAGAAUAAGCACCGGCUAACUACGUG
rnacentral:rRNA from 1 species